AGAGUUUGAUUAUGGCUCAGGAUGAACGCUGGCGGCGUGCUUAACACAUGCAAGUCGAACGGGCUCAUAUUGAAACCUAGUGAUGUAUGAGUUAGUGGCGGACGGGUGAGUAACGCGUGGAGAACCUGCCGUAUACUGGGGGAUAACACUUAGAAAUAGGUGCUAAUACCGCAUAAGCGCACAGCUUCGCAUGAAGCAGUGUGAAAAACUCCGGUGGUAUACGAUGGAUCCGCGUCUGAUUAGCUGGUUGGCGGGGUAACAGCCCACCAAGGCGACGAUCAGUAGCCGGCCUGAGAGGGUGAACGGCCACAUUGGGACUGAGACACGGCCCAAACUCCUACGGGAGGCAGCAGUGGGGAAUAUUGCACAAUGGGGGAAACCCUGAUGCAGCGACGCCGCGUGAGUGAAGAAGUAUUUCGGUAUGUAAAGCUCUAUCAGCAGGGAAGAAAAUGACGGUACCUGACUAAGAAGCCCCGGCUAACUACGUGCCAGCAGCCGCGGUAAUACGUAGGGGGCAAGCGUUAUCCGGAUUUACUGGGUGUAAAGGGAGCGUAAACGGCAGCGC
rnacentral:rRNA from 1 species